AUUAUUAUACCGAAGCUAACGUUAACUUACUUAAAUGUGCGAUCCGUGACAUUUUCUGUGAUAAUUGGUUUUGGUAUUUGGGGGCGCCUAAUCACAUGCAGUCUAGGAUCCCGCAAGACUAUUGAAAUGAAGUGGAUUACUGAGUUGGUAGUUAGUUUGGUACUGGUUGCGGUAACUGCAAUGCGAAGAUGUCGGUAUUGUGUUAGUCAGUGUAGGCCAAAUGAGGUGGUAAGAUCAAUUUGCUUCGUUAGAGGAUUUGUUUGUUGUCCUGCUUAAAUGAAUCAAAAUAAAGAUUAUGUUCUCUGCCUU